CGGAGCAUAGUAUAGUGGUAGUACGCGCGCUUCGGGUGCGUGAAGUCUGGGUUCGAUUCCCGGUGUUCCGA
rnacentral:tRNA from 1 species